rnacentral:rRNA from 1 species
GACGAACGCUGGCGGCGUGCUUAACACAUGCAAGUCGAACGGUGAAGGGAUCAGCUUGCUGGUUCUGGAUGAGUGGCGAACGGGUGAGUAACACGUGAGUAACCUGCCCCCUUCUUCUGGAUAACCGCAUGAAAGUGUGGCUAAUACGGGAUAUUCUGCGCCUGCUGCAUGGUGGGUGUGGGAAAGAUAUUGUUUCGGUGGGGGAUGGGCUCGCGGCCUAUCAGCUUGUUGGUGGGGUGAUGGCCUACCAAGGCGGUGACGGGUAGCCGGCCUGUGAGGGUGGACGGUCACACUGGGACUGCGACACAGCCCAGGCGCCUACGGGAGGCAGCAGUGGGGAAUAUUGCACAACGGGCGCAAGCCUGAUGCAGCGACGCCGCGUGAGGGAUGGAGGCCUUCGGGUUGUGAACCUCUUUCGCCAGUGAAGCAGGCCUGUCCCUUGUGGGUGGGUUGACGGUAGCUAGAUAAGAAGCGCCGGCUAACUACGUG